rnacentral:lncRNA from 1 species
AUUAAAUCAAUUUAUAACUUGUAAAAGCUAAACUUCAGAUGCUGCUAAUUUGAGAUUUAGAUUUCAUUGGUCUCUGCAUAAAAAAUAAAAAAAAGCAAAUGAUAUUAGAAAAAAAGGGCUGCGAAAAAAUAAACAAUAUUCAAAUUUCAAAUGCACGAUCUAAAUUCUUAGGCAAAUCAGUUAUAUAUUGCAUUAAUAGAAAGAUUGAAAAUUAAAAAUAAAAUAAACACAAAACUACAUUAUGAUUUUAACAACAUAUUUUUUGAUGAAUUUUUU